UACGUAGGGUGCAAGCGUUAAUCGGAAUACUGGGCGUAAAGCGUGCGCAGGCGGUUAUAUAAGACAGUUGUGAAAUCCCCGGGCUCAACCUGGGAACUGCAUCUGUGACUGUAUAGCUAGAGUACGGUAGAGGGGGAUGGAAUUCCGCGUGUAGCAGUGAAAUGCGUAGAUAUGCGGAGGAACACCGAUGGCGAAGGCAAUCCCCUGGACCUGUACUGACGCUCAUGCACGAAAGCGUGGGGAGCAAACGAGG
rnacentral:rRNA from 1 species